CCUACGGGCAGCUGCAGUGGGGAAUAUUUGGCAAUGGGCGCAAGCCUGACCCAGCAACGCCGCGUGAAGGAAGAAGGCUCUCGGGUUGUAAACCUCCUUUUAUAGGGAAGAGAAGAAGACGGUACCUCUUGAAUAAGCCACGGCUAACUACGUGCCAGCAGCCGCGGUAAUACGUAGGUUGCAAGCGUUGUCCGGAUUUACUGGGUGUAAAGGGCGUGCAGCCGGGAAGACAAGUCAGAUGUGAAAUCCCGCGGCUCAACCGCGGAACUGCAUUUGAAACUGUUUUUCUUGAGUACCGGAGAGGUCAGCGGAAUUCAUGGUGUAGCGGUGAAAUGCGUAGAUAUAAGGAAGAACACCAGUGGCGAAGGCGGAUGACUGGACGGCAACUGACGGUGAGGCGCGAAAGCGUGGGGAGCAAACAGGAUUAGAUACCCCUGUAGUC
rnacentral:rRNA from 1 species